rnacentral:rRNA from 1 species
AUGGCAAGCACUGUAGAGUGUUACAUCAAUGAGUACAACGUGACAAGUGAAGUGGCCAUUACCAAAACUGUUGCCCUGAUAGAACAUGAAUGGAAGACCCUGAACCAAGCUCGCUUUCAAAAUCAUCUCCCUGCAUUGCAGCAGUUCAUUAGCUUAGCGAUUAGCACAACAUUUUUUUAUGGUAACAGAAAUGAUAUAUACACUGGGUGA